CGAUGACCAAGAAAGAAUUCUUGAGACAUCUUUGGUGCAAAAUUGGUGGUUUAUGAAAGCACGGGGACAGGACCCAUGGGCAGGAAGAGCUGCUGCCCCAGAAACCAUCAGUAUAUGACUUUAUACAACAUAAGCAUGGAAUGGUUAUAACGUGCUGAAGAACAACAUUGUCUUUUGUCACAAUGAAAGGUGAGAGUUAAG
rnacentral:lncRNA from 1 species